rnacentral:pre_miRNA from 1 species
UAAGUAUUCCCUUCGUCCUGACUUACUUGCAUUAGAUUUUUCUAGAUUCAGAUGUAUCUAGACACGUUUUAGUGUUAGAUACAUCUGUAUCUAGACAAAUGUAAAACAAGUAAUUUAGAAAGAAAGUAAUAAUAU